rnacentral:rRNA from 1 species
CAGCACCUCAAGUGGUCAGGAUGAUUAUUGGGCCGAAAGCAUCCGUAGCCGGCGCUGUAAGUUUUCGGUUAAAUCUGUACGCUCAACGUACAGGCUGCCGGGAAUACUGCAGCGCUAGGGAGUGGGAGAGGUAGACGGUACUCGGUAGGAAGGGGUAAAAUCCUUUGAUCUAUUGAUGACCACCUGUGGCGAAGGCGGUCUACCAGAACACGUCCGACGGUGAGGGAUGAAAGCUGGGGGAGCAAACCGGAUUAGAUACCCGAGUAGUCC